UACGAGGGGGCAAGCGUUGUUCGGAAUUAUUGGGCGUAAAGGGCGCGUAGGCGGUUCGGUAAGUCUCCAGUGAAAUCUAUGGGCUCAACCCAUAGCCUGCUGGGGAAACUGCCGGGCUGGAGUGUGGGAGAGGUGCGUGGAAUUCCCGGUGUAGCGGUGAAAUGCGUAGAUAUCUGGAGGAAUACCGGUGGCGAAGGCGGCAUCCUGGACCGACAUUUGACGCUGAUGAGCGAAAGCUAGGGGAGCAAACGGGG
rnacentral:rRNA from 1 species